GUUACAAUCUAUUAAUUCCAAAAAGAAUGUGGAAGCUAUUUAUUUCUAUACCAGAAUAGCUUAGGCAUGUUGCCUACAACAAAAUAGUUGCAAGAGCUAAUGCACAUCUCAAUUAGAUAAAACCAUGCUUGUCGCCAUUGGGGAUUUAUGUAUAGAACUAAGAAGAUCACUAGCAGCACAGAUAUGUAGGAGACUGUGAAACUAACGUAGAAUAUGUUCAUGUCAAGAAAACCACUUUCUUCUUCCAUUGCCGAAGCUCUAGGCAAAGAUGAUGAUUCAGUUGAAGUGCAACUUUUAGGCAAUGGCAGUCCACAGAGGUAAAGAUUUCCCUCGUAGCUACUUGCUUCAAACGUUGAAAAUUGUUCAGUUCUUUCCGGUGUCUUGCCAGAUAGGUUGUUAUGUGCCACACUAAAAACUGACAAAUAGUUUAGCUGGGUAAGCUGAGAAGGGAUCUGCCCACUUAAUUUGUUAUGGGAAAAGUCUAAACUCUCAAUUUGCUUCAGGUUUGAAAAUGUUUCUGGGAUUGGACCCGUAAACCUAUUGUGUGACAGAUUCAGCGUGUGGAUCUUACUAAGGUUUCCGAUUUGAGGAGGAAUCUCGCCCACUAGUUUAUUGCAUGAGAAAUCAAUCCCAGACAUAUAUGAGAGAAUUUUUCCCUGGUAAGAGUAGGAAAAAUGCUUUGUUGUAAACAUUAAAGAAUGGGAGGAGGGAGGCAACUUUGGUCCAGAGGGAGGAGGAGGCGGAGGCAAAGAGCUGGAAAUCUUAGGAGGUGAAGAGACAUCAGGGUGAUCAAUUGCAAAAC
rnacentral:misc_RNA from 1 species